GAGCCAUAAAGGUUAUUUUUUUUUUCAAAGUCAAAUUAAGCGUUUUCCAGGUCAGCUUCAGGGGAGGACAACUCCAGUGGAAGGUCUGGGGCAGCUAUACACCAUGGAAUACUAUGGGACUUCCUGGGAAGAUUGCAAAGAGAUGAUAUCUACUCCUCUACAUAUCCAUGUGUUUUAAGGGAUGCCAACUCUUUCCUCUCUGGCUCCGGGAAGUGUUUCCUGAUUAUCUUCGUCAAGCUAAGAGUGUCAUAGCCACUCUGUUCCCUGGUGAAAUAUUUGAUGGAGUUAGGAACAGACCCAUGAUGUGAGAUGUCUGGGGCUUCUGGGAACUGAUGGGCUAUGAAGACAAGUAUCCAGGCUCUAAAAUGAGAGACACCAGAGAGACUGCUCCUUUGUGCCUCUGGACAUUGUCUUAUCUAAAGGCAAUGCCUGUAACAAUCACAGCCAUUUUGUACUACUCGGGAUGGCAGAGAAGAGAGGUGAAAACCCUGAUCGUUGAUGACAUUGCACCUGGGGCCUGUUUUUUACACUCCCUCUGUUAUUUCAGUUGUGUAAAAUAGUAAAUCUCAUCGUUGUUUAA